ACAGCCGCAGUUGCUAGUGCAGAUUCUCUCCCUUUUCACAAGCAGAUGACCCAGUCAGAGCUGCCCAGGCACCUCCAGUAGCACGAGGAAGACGCCAGGGCACAGAAAGAUGCAGAGAGACCCCAAACAGGUGAAGCUUGAAGAACAACCCCCUUCGUCUACUGUGAAUACCAAAUUCUGUCGUGUAUGAUGAAAAGGAAAUACAGAGAAGGAUGGCAGAUUUCUCUGGAAGAUAAACUCUGAGCAAAGACUCAACUUCCGACCCCCUCUCCAUCCCACUUUCCUGCUGCCCCUGGCCCUUUCCCAGCUGUGGUAAGCCUGGAACCACCAGCCCCGCCUACAGGGAUGGAGCCUGGAUGGUUCAUCACCAUAGACGUUUGCCAACCAGAUGAGUGAAUGAGAAGGUCAUGGCUCAUGCCCUCCAAGGAAGUCUGGUGUCACUGAGUGACCUUCAUGUCUGCUGACGUGGUGACUUACAUUUGGUAGAUCAACCCACUGAACAAUUUUAACACCACCAAAGGAGGGACACCCAGGCGUGACGCAUCCCCAACACAGCAGGAAGUCCACAACGUCACCUGGAAAGCAUUCUUGCCAAAAAUAACUGGAAUCCAGUCAAGCGUCUAGAACUAAGUUCUAGGAUAUGUGUGGGAGAGAGGAACUUGUCAGCAGCAUCCAUCUAUCUGCUACAGUCAUAAUGGGAGAAAUUCUACAAAAAUAAAUGGCCCAAUUUCUUCAAGAAAUAAAUGGCAGGCAGGUGUCAGGCGAAGAGAAUCAUUAGGGACUAAAAAGAAUUAAGAACCAUAUAAGAAUACAGUAUUGGAUUCUGAUUUCAACAAAUACAUUGUUAAAUAACA